rnacentral:rRNA from 1 species
AUUGAACGCUGGCGGCGUGCUUAACACAUGCAAGUCGAUCGGUAACAGGUGUAGCAAUACAUGCUGACGAGAGGCGGACGGGUGAGGAACGCUUGGGAAUCUGCCUAUCAGCGGGGGACAACCCGGGGAAACUCGGGCUAAUACCGCAUACGCUCUACGGAGGAAAGCCGGGGACCGCAAGGCCUGGCACUGAUAGAUGAGCCCAAGUCGGAUUAGCUAGUUGGCGGGGUAACGGCCCACCAAGGCGACGAUCCGUAGCUGGUCUGAGAGGACGAUCAGCCACACCGGAACUGAGACACGGUCCGGACUCCUACGGGAGGCAGCAGUGGGGAAUAUUGGACAAUGGGGGAAACCCUGAUCCAGCGACGCCGCGUGGGUGAAGAAGGCCUGCGGGUUGUAAAGCCCUUUCGGUAGGGAAGAAAUCUCUCGCUCUAACAAAGCAGGAGUUUGACUUAACCUACAUAAGAAGCACCGGCUAACUCUGUGCCAGCCGCCGCAGUAAAAC